rnacentral:ribozyme from 1 species
AAGCAGAAGGGAGCAAACCAACGAAAUCAAAAGCCAAAAAAGCGCAGUUGGCUUGAUAAUGUAUCUUGUGGUUCAAUUGUACAGUAUUUAUUAAUUAUCUACAUUGUCUUCAGGGAGAAGAGGAGGUCUGUUGGUUUGCAAUAUGGAUUCAAGAAUACCCAAAGAUUUAGCAGUUUCUCUUUGGAGUUCUUCCUUGUGAAUCAAA